rnacentral:rRNA from 1 species
UCCUACGGGAGGCAGCAGUGGGGAAUAUUGCACAAUGGGCGCAAGCCUGAUGCAGCGACGCCGCGUGAGGGAUGACGGCCUUCGGGUUGUAAACCUCUUUCAGUAGGGAAGAAGCGAAAGUGACGGUACCUGCAGAAGAAGCGCCGGCUAACUACGUGCCAGCAGCCGCGGUAAUACGUAGGGCGCAAGCGUUAUCCGGAAUUAUUGGGCGUAAAGAGCUCGUAGGCGGUUUGUCGCGUCUGCCGUGAAAGUCCGGGGCUCAACUCCGGAUCUGCGGUGGGUACGGGCAGACUAGAGUGAUGUAGGGGAGACUGGAAUUCCUGGUGUAGCGGUGAAAUGCGCAGAUAUCAGGAGGAACACCGAUGGCGAAGGCAGGUCUCUGGGCAUUAACUGACGCUGAGGAGCGAAAGCAUGGGGAGCGAACAGGAUUAGAUACCCUGGUAGUCCAUGCCGUAAACGUUGGGCACUAGGUGUGGGGGACAUUCCACGUUUUCCGCGCCGUAGCUAACGCAUUAAGUGCCCCGCCUGGGGAGUACGGCCGCAAGGCUAAAACUCAAAGGAAUUGACGGGGGCCCGCACAAGCGGCGGAGCAUGCGGAUUAAUUCGAUGCAACGCGAAGAACCUUACCAAGGCUUGACAUGGACCGGAAACACCUGGAAACAGGUGCCCCGCUUGCGGCCGGUUCACAGGUGGUGCAUGGUUGUCGUCAGCUCGUGUCGUGAGAUGUUGGGUUAAGUCCCGCAACGAGCGCAACCCUCGUUCCAUGUUGCCAGCGCGUAAUGGCGGGGACUCAUGGGAGACUGCCGGGGUCAACUCGGAGGAAGGUGGGGACGACGUCAAAUCAUCAUGCCCCUUAUGUCUUGGGCUUCACGCAUGCUACAAUGGCCGGUACAAAGGGUUGCGAUACUGUGAGGUGKAGCUAAUCCCAAAAAGCCGGUCUCAGUUCGGAUUGGGGUCUGCAACUCGACCCCAUGAAGUCGGAGUCGCUAGUAAUCGCAGAUCAGCAACGCUGCGGUGAAUACGUUCCCGGGCCUUGUACACACCGC